rnacentral:rRNA from 1 species
UACGUAGGGAGGGAGCGUUGUCCGGAUUUAUUGGGCGUAAAGCGAGCGCAGGUGGUUUAUUAAGUCUGGUGUAAAAGGCAGUGGCUCAACCAUUGUAUGCAUUGGAAACUGGUAGACUUGAGUGCAGGAGAGGAGAGUGGAAUUCCAUGUGUAGCGGUGAAAUGCGUAGAUAUAUGGAGGAACACCGGUGGCGAAAGCGGCUCUCUGGCCUGUAACUGACACUGAGGCUCGAAAGCGUGGGGAGCAAACAGG